rnacentral:misc_RNA from 1 species
GCCAGCAUGAGAUGCAAACGGAGGACGCCGCGCAGAGUCCGCCACGCAAGAAGCGAGGGGUCGCCGUAGCGGGACCGGCGGACCGGGACAAGAUGACUGCUGCACCGGUGGUCAGCGUGCCGCCGUUGCCCUCAUCUUUAAUGCCUGUGCCUUCCAGCUCGCACGAACCCCAUACGGAAAGAAAGCCACAACCAGGCUCGAAGCGAGGCCGCGCCGGCAAGAGGCAGCGCUGUGUGGACAGUGGCCGUCCGAGAGGCAGCCACCGCCACACCGAGAUAACAUUAGACGGCACCGCUGCACCGGCCUCCCCCACGUUCUACAGGCCGACUGACACGAAUCGGACGCUGAUAUACGACGCUGAGUCGCCGCUUCUUCUCCGUUCACCUCGCCGCAGCUUGCAGGACGCGGCGGCGUCUCCUCCGCCUCUUGUGGGAUCGAUAGCGACACCCGCCCGCCGCAACGCUGUUGUGCUUACCUCGACCCCACUGUUAAUACGAGAGGAGCGGAAGAGGGUCGCCGAGGAUGACGCUGCGACUCAUGGCCCAUUAGCGUUGCUCCGCACGCCACUGCGGCUAGUUCGAACCGCGCGAGGGCUGUUGUCACCGGGCAGUGCGACCCUUCGACGGCGCCUCCCUCACCUCCGGCAGUCUGCUACGGGUGCAACCGGGGCAGAGCGAGGGCUGCAGCGGCAGCAGCCGACCGCCGCCAGCAGCGCUUCCCCUCCGCCCCCAUCGCCGUGGGGACGACUGAGCACCAUCGUGCCUGCCACUGAUUCUCUGCCCUCCUGCGCGGAAGAGGAGGGCGGCAGCGACAGUGCAUCGACGAGGGCAGUGUCGAGGCGCAGAGGUUCCGCGCUAUCCUCCGAGCCGCUUCCCGAUGCGACCGCGCUUUCUUCCAUUCCGGCCAGCCAACGAACCUCGGUGCCCGCGUCUGAUAUGUGGCGGCGCAGCGGCCGUGGCGCGGAGCUGCCUGAACUUCUCCGUCCCACCAUGCAGCCAGAGUCGGUCGUGCUCUCCGACAGUGAUGACGAUGAUGUCACCGCGCCGCUGUCUCGUCGAUCCUCUCCGAUCGUCACGGCGGUGGACGAGGUACGCGGAGGCUCAAGGUUUCAGCGACGUCGCCGCGUGGAUGAGGAUCCGAGUGGGGCGGGAGGGGUCGGUGGCACUGCGGCUCUUCGCGGGCCAUGCGAUGUGCGGUUUGCACAGGUAUCCUCACUGAGCGAGUCUCUGGCGGAUAUCGUGUCUUCCUCGCGCAGCACCGCCCACUCGAGCCUGACGUCCAUCGCCGCAGCUGCUGCCUCGAGCGCCGUGGCACAGAACCGGAUCUCUUCAGUUGGACAUGGAAGCGCAGGAGACGCGGGGGAGGCGUGCAUACCGCGGCGCAGUGCCACCGUGAUGGACCCCAACUUCUCCUCCAUUCUGCCAGAUGAGGAGGAGUUAGCGAUACGGCGUCGGCUCCAGCGCGGCCGAAACCGUCAAGCGCCGCACAGUCGAAGUAAUAGCGACAUCCGCGGGGCCGGUGUGGCAGCGCUGAAGCAGGAGCGACAGCACCCAGUAGGGGCUCGUGUGGGUGCCGGUAAUGUCAUGGAGCUAUUCGUCAUUCGCGCCCCACAACCUGCACCCCUGGAUUGGCAGCAGCCACUGCAGCCGGAGGUGAGGCGCCGCACAUCAUCACGCUGCGCAUCUGGUGUUUCUGUCUCGGCCGCUGGCGGAAUGGCUGCAACCGCUUCCGUGCACCAAAGCAUUGCCUCGCGCGCGCAUGCCGCAGAUGUGUGGCCGCCGCAAUCGCAGCGGCGAUCCGCGUCGUCCACGUUACUCUCGCCGCCGUGGCUCACCGUGGCGUAUGUGUCUCGACUCACUGUUGCCCUUCUGUCGGCGCUGGUGUGCGUGUGGUGUGUGGCGGCGGUGGCGUCGCCUCUCAUGGCGUUGCAGCCUCGCUACGCUCUCUUAGUGGUGGCACGCGCGGACUCGGUCGCCGCUGAGGCGCAGUUUGUGCAAACGCACGCGAACUCAGUCGCAGAGUUGCAGGCCCUGUACAAAAUCGCACCCACCUCACUUGGCGCGGACGCGGUGGUGCGGCUGCACCAUCGAACACUCAGUGAGGGAGUGGAGCGGCUGGAGAGGGCGACGCAGCACCUGGUGCCGGAUGACAACGCACCUCCGUGGCGGCGCCUGUUCUACUUACGAGCGAUGAUCCGAGCCUAUCUUGCCUUGUCGCGGAACUGCGAGCUGUACGCGCGUAGUCGCGACGCCAGUCACUGGCGACGCUACGUUGUGUACCCCCUCGCGGACAUGAAGCUCUACGGUGUGCGACGAUUCGGCAGCAUUGCAAGUGGAUCCUCUAUCACCACCAGCGCUGCGGUUGCGUGGCGGGACCGCGUCUGGACCACUGUGGCGUGCAGUGCCCAGUCUGAGGUGCUUGCGUGCCCCUCUGUGCUCUACGUUGAGGAGGCUAUGGCGCGCGACGCCGCGCAGUUUGUGUACACGGCCGUCAACGAGGCCCACGAGUCGCCGCAUCGGAAGCGCAAACUGCAAGACUGGCGAGUGCGUCUGCACCGCGACUGGACGAGCGAGGUGUACCUGGAGACGUUGCUACGCUACAUUCGGAGUGGCGUACAGGGGUUGACACGGAACUACAACAGAUAAGGCGAAAGGGAAGGGGGAACGCGCAGGAUGUGUCCGCUGCGCAGCUGCGGCAUCCCGGGACAGAGAAGCAGCGCGUCCACCCUUUUUCAAGCAGAGGGGCGGGCCAUCCUGCUGUGACCAUGCCUGCCUGUCUGUCUGCGUGCGUUUGUGUGUAUAUUGAGUUUUUCUGGUGUUGGACGACACCGGACUG